GACCGGUAGCAUAGUGGUUAGAGCAUCUGUUUCGGAUGCGGGUGGUCGCGUGUUUGAACCCCGGCCGAGUCA